rnacentral:rRNA from 1 species
ACCCAGACUCCUACGGGAGGCAGCAGUGGGGGAUAUUGCACAAUGGGGGAAACCCUGAUGCAGCGACGCCGCGUGGGUGAAGAAGUAUUUCGGUAUGUAAAGCCCUAUCAGCAGGGAAGAAAGAAGACGGUACCUGACUAAGAAGCCCCGGCUAACUACGUGCCAGCAGCCGCGGUAAUACGUAGAGGGCGAGCGUUAUCCGGAUUCACUGGGUGUAAAGGGAGCGUAGACGGCCGUGCAAGCCAGGAGUGAAAGCCCGGGGCCCAACCCCGGGACUGCUCUUGGAACUGUGCGGCUGGAGUGCGGGAGGGGCAGGCGGAAUUCCUGGUGUAGCGGUGAAAUGCGUAGAUAUCAGGAGGAACACCGGCGGCGAAGGCGGCCUGCUGGACCGCGACUGACGUUGAGGCUCGAAAGCGUGGGGAGCAAACAGGAUUAGAUACCCUGGUA